GAUGAACGCUGGCGGCGUGCCUAAUACAUGCAAGUCGAGCGAACGGACGAGAAGCUUGCUUCUCUGAUGUUAGCGGCGGACGGGUGAGUAACACGUGGAUAACCUACCUAUAAGACUGGGAUAACUUCGGGAAACCGGAGCUAAUACCGGAUAAUAUUUUGAACCGCAUGGUUCAAAAGUGAAAGACGGUCUUGCUGUCACUUAUAGAUGGAUCCGCGCUGCAUUAGCUAGUUGGUAAGGUAACGGCUUACCAAGGCAACGAUGCAUAGCCGACCUGAGAGGGUGAUCGGCCACACUGGAACUGAGACACGGUCCAGACUCCUACGGGAGGCAGCAGUAGGGAAUCUUCCGCAAUGGGCGAAAGCCUGACGGAGCAACGCCGCGUGAGUGAUGAAGGUCUUCGGAUCGUAAAACUCUGUUAUUAGGGAAGAACAUAUGUGUAAGUAACUGUGCACAUCUUGACGGUACCUAAUCAGAAAGCCACGGCUAACUACGUGCCAGCAGCCGCGGUAAUACGUAGGUGGCAAGCGUUAUCCGGAAUUAUUGGGCGUAAAGCGCGCGUAGGCGGUUUUUUAAGUCUGAUGUGAAAGCCCACGGCUCAACCGUGGAGGGUCAUUGGAAACUGGAAAACUUGAGUGCAGAGAGGGAAAGUGGAAUUCCAUGUGUAGCGGUGAAAUGCGCAGAGAUAUGGAGGAACACCAGUGGCGAAGGCGACUUUCUGGUCUGUAACUGACGCUGAUGUGCGAAAGCGUGGGGAUCAAACAGGAUUAGAUACCCUGGUAGUCCACGCCGUAAACGAUGAGUGCUAAGUGUUAGGGGGUUUCCGCCCCUUAGUGCUGCAGCUAACGCAUUAAGCACUCCGCCUGGGGAGUACGACCGCAAGGUUGAAACUCAAAGGAAUUGACGGGGACCCGCACAAGCGGUGGAGCAUGUGGUUUAAUUCGAAGCAACGCGAAGAACCUUACCAAAUCUUGACAUCCUUUGACAACUCUAGAGAUAGAGCUUUCCCCUUCGGGGGACAAGGUGACAGGUGGUGCAUGGUUGUCGUCAGCUCGUGUCGUGAGAUGUUGGGUUAAGUCCCGCAACGAGCGCAACCCUUAAGCUUAGUUGCCAUCAUUAAGUUGGGCACUCUAAGUUGACUGCCGGUGACAAACCGGAGGAAGGUGGGGAUGACGUCAAAUCAUCAUGCCCCUUAUGAUUUGGGCUACACACGUGCUACAAUGGACAAUACAAAGGGCAGCGAAACCGCGAGGUCAAGCAAAUCCCAUAAAGUUGUUCUCAGUUCGGAUUGUAGUCUGCAACUCGACUACAUGAAGCUGGAAUCGCUAGUAAUCGUAGAUCAGCAUGCUACGGUGAAUACGUUCCCGGGUCU
rnacentral:rRNA from 1 species